rnacentral:rRNA from 1 species
CCUACGUGGCGCAGCAGUGGGGAAUAUUGCACAAUGGGGGGAACCCUGAUGCAGCGACGCCGCGUGGGUGAGGAAGUACUUCGGUAUGUAAAGCCCUAUCAGCAGGGAAGAAAAUGACGGUACCUGACUAAGAAGCCCCGGCUAACUACGUGCCAGCAGCCGCGGUAAUACGUAGGGGGCAAGCGUUAUCCGGAUUUACUGGGUGUAAAGGGAGCGUAGACGGCGUGCCAAGUCUGGGGUGAAAGGCCGGGGCCCAACCCCGGGACUGCAUGGGAAACUGGCAUGCUGGAGGGCCGGAGGGGCAAGCGGAAUUCCUAGUGUAGCGGUGAAAUGCGUAGAUAUUAGGAGGAACACCGGUGGCGAAGGCGGCUUGCUGGACGGUAACUGACGUUGAGGCUCGAAAGCGUGGGGAGCAAACAGGAUUAGAUACCCGUGUAGUC